AUUGAACGCUGGCGGCAGGCCUAACACAUGCAAGUCGAACGAGUGGCGGACGGGUGAGUAAUGUCUGGGAAACUGCCCGAUGGAGGGGGAUAACUACUGGAAACGGUAGCUAAUACCGCAUACCAUCGGAUGUGCCCAGAUGGGAUUAGCUAGUAGGUGGGGUAAUGGCUCACCUAGGCGCCGAUCCCUAGCUGGUCUGCGAGGAUGACCCGCCACACUGGGACUGGGACACGGUCCAGACUCCUACGGGAGGGAGCAGUGGGGAAUAGUGCACAAUGGGCGCAAGCCUGAUGCAGCCAUGCCGCGUGUAGGAAGAAGGCCUUCGGGUUGUAAAGUACUUUCAGCGGGGAGGCGUUACCCGCAGAAGAAGCACCGGCUAACUCCGUGCCAGCAGCCGCGGUAAUUUC
rnacentral:rRNA from 1 species